AGAAGUUCAAAACAGUCUCGGAAACCAAUAGGAAGUCCAGGGUUAUUACAGUCUCCUCCGGGUCUCAUUCAGGAUGUAUCCUCUAGCAAAAUACGUUCUCAUCCUCCAAAUGAUUAUCCUCUUUUCCACGACCAGCCAGGCUCUGCUAUGCAAGAGUUGUUAUGAGGUGUCAAGUUUGGGCCCAGGUGAAGGGCGAGCCCAGUGGAGGACAGUUUGGAUUGGGUGGGAGUUGCGAAGAGGGCCUGAAGUGCAUGCACAGAGAACCAUGGAAUCCUAGCGGGUUUGGGGUUUGCGAAGAAUCUGGGCAGUAGGCUUCCAGUUGGGGCAGAGAAUGAAUGUCAUGAAAUUGCUUCGAGGCGAGCUCAUCCAGAAUGGUCAACCGAACAUGUGAUUGCUGCAAAAAGAGAAUGGAGCUGCAGGACCAGUGCUCUGCCAGUUAAAAUGUGCUAUGUGUUUGCAGUUUGUACAGUUUAAAUCAGCAUCAGAAUGCUAUUCUAUACAACUGCCAUAUCUAACAGCAUGAUUAUUAGACUUCAUUUUAGCCCAUAUACUAUGAUAUCAAUUACAUGUGUGAAAUGUAAUGUAGUAUGAAUUGCUUGUUAAUUAACCAGCAACAAUAAAUGCAUACAUUUGCAACCAAAUUGAUAAGAAUUAGACCUAAAUUUGAUACAUGUGCUCUCAGUGGUAAUUUCCAGUCUUCACAAGGUUCACUUAUCGACUUCGCAACAUUUUCCUCAGCUGAAGAGGUUAAUACAAAAUGACGGGCUAAACAUGGGAAUGCAUUUCUUUUUUUCCUUUUCUCUCAGUCUUUUCUCUGAUUAAAGCACUGAUCUCAUUCU